UACGUAGGGUGCAAGCGUUAAUCGGAAUACUGGGCGUAAAGCGUGCGCAGGCGGUGAUGUAAGACAGUUGUGAAAUCCCCGGGCUCAACCUGGGAACUGCAUCUGUGACUGCAUCGUUGGAGUACGGUAGAGGGGGAGUGGAAUUCCGCGUGUAGCAGUGAAAUGCGUAGAUAUGCGGAGGAACACCGAUGGCGAAGGCAAUCCCCUGGACCUGUACUGACGCUCAUGCACGAAAGCGUGGGGAGCAAACAGG
rnacentral:rRNA from 1 species